rnacentral:rRNA from 1 species
GGCGGUGCUUUAAACCCACCUAGAGGAGCCUGUUCUGUAAUCGAUACCCCCCGAUAAACCUCACCGCACUUAGCCACUCAGCCUAUAUACCACCGUCCUCGCCCACCCUUUAAAGGAAAAACAAUGGGCAAAGUAAUAAACAUUAAAACGUCAGGUCAAGGUGUAGCCCAUAAUGCGGGAAGAAAUGGGCUACAUUUUCUCAUCAGAAAAUACGGACGACCCAAUGAAAUACCCCCAGAAGGAGGAUUUAGUAGUAAAGAGAAAAAAGAGUGUUCUCUUUAAUAAGGCAAUAAAGCGCGCACACACCGCCCGUCACCCUCUUCAUACCCCCAAAAAAAUAUUAUAUAAACACUAAUACUAAACAAGAAGAGGUAAGUCGUAACAUGGUAAGCUUACCGGAAGGUGAGCUUGGAAUA